GGACCCACUAUCGUACACAUAUAAACUUUGGGUCGUGUACUAGGGUGAUUAGCCUUUGGGGCAGCUCUACGUACGUAUGACCAGAUUAUGAUGUGAAUGGACUUGCUUUGUACAUCGAGAUUACUCUGUACAUGAGUAAGGAUAUUCAUAGGAUACUUUUUUGGUGUGAUUUUUCAGUAUUUCUACAGCUUAUCAGUUUUGAGAUUAUAGAAUUCAGUUUUCAAAAUAAAGCUUUCAGCUUACAGUAUUGAGCAGCAGCAAUAUUUCAUAAAUUUUCAUGGAUAUCAGAUUAUUUAUAGUCAUUAUAUUAUACAGUUGCUUUUCUAGAAUCAAGAACAAAGAACUUUAUGAUACGAUCAUGUUUAGUUCUUAAAGUGUACUAGAUUCAGAAUUUCUCAAAGAUUUGAUAAAGUUAGAAUUUUUAGAAAAUGUGCAUAAAUGGAAAAUUUUACUUAUUUUCAAGCUAUCUACUCACUGAGUUACAAACUUAUAUAUUUUGUCAUUUUUUUUCCUAUUAGGAGACUGUUGAUUUUGAGACACUUGGAAAAGCCUGUUGAAGUCAAAUAGACCGUUUCAUAGUAUGUAAUGUAUAGUUGGAGACUCGUGUUUAUUAAGUACUUGGUCUAAUAUUUAGUUUGACGUGUAUUUCGUAGAAGGGUUUGUAAUUGAUGUAAUGCUUACUUGUAGACAUGAUGCUAAUGUAGAAGUACUCAGUCGAGUUUAGUUGUAUUUUGUCUUAGUCGUGGUGGUAUUAGAGGAAGUGGUGGUUUCCAAAACUUUUGGUUUGAAUGUCUAUAUGAGGUUUUGUUGAUGUUUCAGGUUGGUUUUGUCCAUGUUUAAGGGGAAAUUCUGUCAAAUUUUUUACCCAAA
rnacentral:lncRNA from 1 species